rnacentral:antisense_RNA from 1 species
GGAAUAUGAAGGGAGAAUGAAACAAAACUGCUCCGCUCAGGGAACUUGGAAAGGAAAUUGAAAAGGCAAGGCACAGGCUGGAAGAAAAUAUUUGAAAAAGAUUUAUGUGAACUUCUUUCUGGAUUAUACAAAAUAUUUUUAGAUAUUCUUACAACUCUAAAAUAAGAUAACUCCUUAAAAAUGUGAAUUCUACCAAAGGAGAGAUGAAGAUGACGAAUAUAUUCAAAGAUGCUGAAAAUCACUUAUUUAUUAUUAGGAAGUUACAAGCUAAAGCAUAAUGAGAUACCACUACAACCUACUAAACUGACUAAAAUUAAUCAGACUAACCAGGUGUUGGCAAGAAACAGGGACACUGAGACUCUCACACUGCUGGAAGGAAUGUAAAAUGCUAAAACUUCUUUGGAAAUGAGUUCAGUAACUUUUUAAACAGUUGAAAAUAGACCUAUCAUGCAAACCAGCAAUCCCACUUCUAGGUAUUUAUACAAGGAAAAUGACAACAUAUGCCCACAUAAAGACUUGUGCACAAAUGACGGUAGCAGCUUUGUGAUAAUUGCUAAAAACUAGAAACUUGUCAAGUGUCCAACAGACACAGGGUCUCCCUAUGUUGCCCAGGCUGGUAUCGAACUCUGUUGCCCAGGCUGGUAUUGAACUCCUGCGCUCAAGUGAUCCUCCUGCCUCAGCUUCCCAAAACGCUGGGAUUACAGGCAUGAACCACUCUACCCAGCCCCUCCUUGCUCAUUCGUAAUGAAACAAUGCUUUGUAAACCAGGAAAGUGCUAUAUAAAGAUAUCUUUAAAAUACCAAAGAAGUCCC